rnacentral:pre_miRNA from 1 species
AACUCCAUGUUGGAGAAGCAGAGCACGUGCAAACCAAAAAACAUGAAAUCUGUUUCAUAUGCUUUGCACGUGCUCCCCUCCUCCAACAUGAGCUC